rnacentral:rRNA from 1 species
UACGAACCGUACAAACGUUAUUCGGAAUCACUGGGCUUAAAGGGCGCGUAGGCGGUCAGCACAAGUCAGUUGUGAAAUCUCCGGGCUUAACUCGGAAAGGUCAACUGAUACUGUGCGACUAGAGUGCGGAAGGGGCAACUGGAAUUCUCGGUGUAGCGGUGAAAUGCGUAGAUAUCGAGAGGAACACCAAUGGCGAAGGCAGCUCGCUGGGACGUGACUGACGCUGAGACGCGAAAGCGUGGGGAGCAAACAGG